rnacentral:rRNA from 1 species
AGUGAACGCUGGCGGCAGGCCUAACACAUGCAAGUCGAGCGGCAGCGCGGGGGCAACCCUGGCGGCGAGCGGCGGACGGGUGAGGAAUUCGUCGGAAUCUGCCUUUUUGUGGGGGAUAACGUAGGGAAACUUACGCUAAUACCGCAUACGUCCUACGGGAGAACGUGUGGGACCGCAAGGCCUCACGCAGAAAGAUGAGCCGACGACCGAUUAGCUAGUUGGUGGGGUAAAGGCCCACCAAGGCGACGAUCGGUAGCUGGUCUGAGAGGAUGAUCAGCCACACUGGGACUGAGACACGGCCCAGACUCCUACGGGAGGCAGCAGUGGGGAAUAUUGGACAAUGGGCGCAAGCCUGAUCCAGCCAUGCCGCGUGUGUGAAGAAGGCCUUCGGGUUGUAAAGCACUUUUGUCCGGAAAGAAAUCCCUGGAGCUAAUACCUUCGGGGGAUGACGGUACCGGAAGAAUAAGCACCGGCUAACUUCGUG